GGAGUGUAGCUCAGGGGUAGAGCGUGUGCUUAGCAUGCACGGGGUCCUGGGUUCAGUCCCCAGUGACUCCA
rnacentral:tRNA from 1 species